GACGAACGCUGGCGGCGUGCUUAACACAUGCAAGUCGAACGGAAAGACAAGGCUUUUUGGGGGUGCUGGGAUGGCGAACGGGUGGGUAAGACGUGAGUAACCUACCGUUGACUUGGGGGUGACUACAGGAAACUGGGGCAACUAACGGCGAGUAACGCCUCAUGCCUGGAGGGGGGGGGAAAGUGUCGGCGGUUGGGGAUGGACUCGCGGGUUAUGAGCUUGUUGGGGGGGGAGUGGCUUACCAAGACUUGGACGGGUAGCCGGCCUGAGAGGGGGACCGGCCACAUUGGGACUGAGAUACGGACCAGACUCCUACGGGAGGCAGCAGUGGGGAAUAUUGCACAAUGGGCGGAAGCCUGAUGCAGCAACGCCGCGUGUGGGAUGACGGCCUUCGGGUGGUAAACCGCUUUCGCCUGUGACGAAGAGUGAGUGACGGUAAUGGGUAAAGAAGCACCAGCUAACUACGUG
rnacentral:rRNA from 1 species